UACGAAGGGGGCUAGCGUUGCUCGGAAUCACUGGGCGUAAAGGGCGCGUAGGCGGCUUAUCAAGUCGGGGGUGAAAGCCCGUGGCUCAACCACGGAAUGGCCUUCGAUACUGGUAGGCUUGAGACCGGAAGAGGACAGCGGAACUGCGAGUGUAGAGGUGAAAUUCGUAGAUAUUCGCAAGAACACCAGUGGCGAAGGCGGCUCACUGGCCCGAUACUGACGCUGAGGUGCGAAAGCGUGGGGAGCAAACAGG
rnacentral:rRNA from 1 species